rnacentral:rRNA from 1 species
UACGUAGGGCGCGAGCGUUGCCCGGAAUUAUUGGGCGUAAAGAGCUCGUAGGCGGCUUGUCACGUCGGGUGUGAAAGACCGGGGCUUAACUCCGGUUCUGCAUUCGAUACGGGCUAGCUAGAGUGUGGUAGGGGAGAUCGGAAUUCCUGGUGUAGCGGUGAAAUGCGCAGAUAUCAGGAGGAACACCGGUGGCGAAGGCGGAUCUCUGGGCCAUUACUGACGCUGAGGAGCGAAAGCGUGGGGAGCGAACAGG